CCUGGUGGCGAGCGGCGGACGGGUGAGUAAUGCAUAGAAAUCUGCCCGGUAGUGGGGGAUAACCUGGGGAAACCCAGGCUAAUACCGCAUACGUCCUACGGGAGAAAGCAGGGGAUCUUCGGACCUUGCGCUAUCGGAUGAGUCUAUGUCGGAUUAGCUUGUUGGUGAGGUAAUGGCUCACCAGGGCGACGAUCCGUAGCUGGUCUGAGAGGAUGAUCAGCCACAUCGGGACUGAGACACGGCCCGAACUCCUACGGGAGGCAGCAGUGGGGAAUAUUGGACAAUGGGCGAAAGCCUGAUCCAGCCAUGCCGCGUGUGUGAAGAAGGCCUUCGGGUUGUAAAGCACUUUCAGUGGGGAAGAAAGCCUUGGGGCUAAUACCCUCGAGGAAGGACAUCACCCACAGAAGAAGCACCGGCUAACUCCGUGCCAGCAGCCGCGGUAAUACGGAGGGUGCGAGCGUUAAUCGGAAUUACUGGGCGUAAAGCGCGCGUAGGCGGUCUGAUAAGCCGGUUGUGAAAGCCCCGGGCUCAACCUGGGAACGGCAUCCGGAACUGUCAGGCUAGAGUGCAGGAGAGGAAGGUAGAAUUCCCGGUGUAGCGGUGAAAUGCGUAGAGAUCGGGAGGAAUACCAGUGGCGAAGGCGGCCUUCUGGACUGACACUGACGCUGAGGUGCGAAAGCGUGGGUAGCAAACAGGAUUAGAUACCCUGGUAGUCCACGCCGUAAACGAUGUCGACUAGCCGUUGGGCUCCUUGAGAGCUUUGUGGCGCAGUUAAUGCGAUAAGUCGACCGCCUGGGGAGU
rnacentral:rRNA from 1 species